UGCCUGUCCACUUGGAGUUUGAUGGUUCU
rnacentral:piRNA from 1 species